rnacentral:rRNA from 1 species
GGUUCGAUCAUGGCCCAGAUUGAACGCUGGCGGGAUGCUUUACAUGCAAGUCGAACGGCAGCAUGGACUUCGGUCUUGUGGCGAGUGGCGAACGGGGAGUAAUGUAUCGGAACGUGCGUCACUAGUAGCGGGAUAACUACGCGAAAGCGUAGCUAAUACCGCAUACGCCCUUCUUUCGGGGAAAGCGGGGACCUCGGGCCUCGCACUAUUAGAGCGGCCGAUAUCGGAUUAGCUAGUUGGUGGGGUAACGGCUCACCAAGGGCGAUUGAUCCGUAGCUGGUUUGAGAGGACGACCAGCCACACUGGGACCGAGACACGGCCCAUAGACUCCUACGAGGCAGUGGGGCACCUGACAAUGGGGGAAACCCCGGAUCACAGCCACCUCCGGGCGUGUGCGAUGAAGGCCUUCGGGUUGUAAAGCACUUUGGCAGGAAAAGAAACGGCACGGAUAAUCACUCCUGCUAAAAUGAUUAUACCUGCAGAAUAAGCACCUGGCCAAUCACAUGCGCCACAGCAGCCGCGGUAAUACGUAGGGUGCAAGCGUUAAUCAAUUACUGGGCGUAGCGUGCGCAGGCGGUUCGGAAAAAGAGGAUGAAAUCCCAGAGCUUAACUUGGAACUGCAUUUUUAACUACCGAGCUAGAGUGUCAGAGGGAGGUGGAAUUCCGCGUGUAGCAGCAGAGUGCGUAGAUAUGCGGAGGAACACCGAUGGCGAAGGCAGCCUCCCUGGGAUAACACUGACGCUCAUGCACGAAAGUGUGGAGCAAACAGGAUGACAGCACCCCCUCAGUCCACGCCCUAAACGAUGUCAACUAGCUACAGCCUCUGGCCUCGGUAGCGCAGCUAACAUGCGAAGCUGACCGCCUGGGGAGUACGGUCGCAAGAUUAAAACUCAAAGGAAUUGACGGGACCCGCACAAGCGGUGGAUGAUGUGGAUUAAUCUGAUGGCAACGCGAAAACCUUUACCCACCCCGACAUGUCUGGAAUCCCGAAGAGAUUUGGGAGUGCUCGCAAGAGAACCGAACACAGGUGCUGCAUGGCUGUCGUCAGCUCGUGUCGUGAGAUGUUGUUAAGUCCCGCACGAGCGCAACCCUUGUCAUUAUUGCUGCUGAAAGGGCACCUGACGUGAGACUGCCGGUGACAAACCGGAGGAAGGUGGGGAUGACGUCAAGUCCCUCAUGGCCCUUAUGGGUAGGCCUUCACACGUCAUACAAUGGUCGGGACAGAGGGUCGCCAACCCGCGAGGGGGAGCCAAUCCCAGAAACCCGGAUCGUAGUCCGGAUCGCAGUCUGCAACUCGACUGCGGAAGUCGGAACGGCUAGUAAUCGCGGAUCAGCAUGUCGCGGUGAAUACGUUCCCGGGUCUUGUACACACCGCCCGUCACACCAUGGGAGUGGGUUUACCAGAAGUAGUUAGCCUAACCGUAAGGAGGGCGAUUACCACGGUAGGAUUCAGAUGACUGGGGUGAAGUCGUAACAAGGUAA